AGGAAGGAGGAUGUGGUUGUUCUAGUUCUAUUUCACCGAAUAAACUCUCGCUCGGUCUGCCUCAGAAUUGCUCUCCAAGGACAGUGUUUUUGACAAUGCCAACCUUCUGACUACCUGCUGCUUCAGAGGACCGAAAAGACAGGAAAGAGAACACUCUUUCUUUACCAUAUAGUUGUUUUUAUAUAAGUAAAUGUUGUUAUAUAUGAAGAAAUCAUUUAAGCUGAUUUUAGAUUGACAUUGCUACUGUACUUAUUUACCUCAGCCUGCCUGGUCAGCUUGCCAGCUACAGUUUUAUUUAGCUAACGUUAGCUAGCUAGCUAGCUACUGUAACUGUUACUGUAGCUUUCUGUUUGUAUGUAGCUUGCACUUCAAUGGCAUCCCUCUGGGAGAUUUUCUUUUAUCUUUCCAUCCAGGCGAAGCACUAUGAGGUGGGAAGAGAGUGGAAGACAGACAGAGCAAGAGAUGGAGAGAGAGAAACAGAGAGAGAAAAACAUUAGUGUAAAUGUAUUUAGACUUAUUUCAACAACUCUUUUCUCCCAAAUUGUUAUGCAUGUCCCUCACACAACCCAACCCAGCCACACAGGAGGGUGAUUUUUUUUUACUAAGGAGGAGAAGGAGGCCAUUUCUGAGUGAAGUGCAUGAUUGCAAAAAGCAACCUUUGCUCCUUGCUUUUUUUUUUUACCCCUUUUUCUCCCCAAAUUCAUGGUAUCCAAUUGGUAGUUACAGUCUUGUCUCAUCACUGCAACUCCCGUACGGACUCGGGAGAGGCGAAAGUUGAGAGCUGUGCAUCCUCUGAAACACAACCCAACCAAGCCGCAAUGCUUUUUGACACAAUGCCCACUUAACCUGGAAGCCAGACACACUAUUGCGUCAAAGGAAACACCAUACUACUGGCAACCAUGUCAGCGUGCACUGCGCCAGGCCCACCACAGGAGUCACUAGUGCACGGUGGGACAAGGACAUCCCUACCGGCCAAAUCCUCUCCUAACCUGGACAACGCUGGGCCAAUUGUGUACUGCCCCAUGGGUCUCCCGGUCACUGCCGCCUGCGACAGAACCUGGACUCGAACCCAGAGUGGCACAGCUAGCACUGAGAUGCAGUGCCUUAGACCACCGUGCCACUCAGGAGGCCCAACCUACGCUUCUUCUGACGGGGAAUUGUCAAAGAGGUGAACAGCUAGCCUGCCAGAAGUUUGAGAGGGUGAAGACUGGCGCCGGAGUUGAAGCCCAUCAAAGGUCUUUCACCGUGGCACAGGAUCGGAAUGGCAACAGCUGGUGUCUGACGGCGACCAAUCACUUUACCAAGUGGGUGGAGGCGAUACCCAUUAAGGACGAGACUGGUGAGGCCACCUUCAAGGUGAUGGUAGACAUCUUCAACACGCACGAUUCUCCUGAGAUCAUCUUGAGUGACCAAGGUCAUGAAUGCUGGAACAAGCCCCUCUUCCAGGUUUGAUGAACUGACCAACCAGACCCUCAACACUGCCAUGGGCAAGUCCCUUAAUUGGUACCAGGAAUGGUGGGAGAACAACCUGAAGGUCAUUUUCUUUGCACCCAACAGCAGCAUCCAGGCCUCCACAUAGUACGGACGGGAACCACAGUUGUUGACUGAGAUAAACAAUGCAAUUGUAUAUACAAUUAUUGCAUAUUUAGUAGUCUUUCAAAUGUGUGAUUGACUUAGUGUCGUUGUUUGUCUAUUGCUAUUUUUGUAUAAUCACUGAUCACUGAAACCCCACUUGAUGUGGUGGAAGUCGUCAAACCAGAUCAGAAUUCCUUUGAGGACCACCUUCAGGCACGGACUGAGAAGGAUGUGGAGGUUUUUCACCAGAUGAGACUGAACAUGGACAAGGCCCAGGAAAACUGAAGGAAAGGUACCGGAGCAGAAUCAAGAAGGGGACCAAGUGCUACGAGAUCCUGGCAAAUGACUUGGUUUGGAAGAAGGAAUAAAGGAAGGCGAGACCUGGGAAACCUUGCUGCUCUUUCGCUCCCAGCUGGGGUCACCAUCUGUUAGUGAAUAUAAAAAAUCUCAGAUAAUAACUAUUUGUAUUUGACACAAAAUAACCUGAAGAGUUUCCCUAACUCUGAUAGUUUACUCUUUGUCUUCCUUGGGUUACAUCGGUGGAAGCCAACAAUUUUCUACAGUUGGAGCAGUUGGACGGUGGACCACAAAAAGCACUGACGUCCCUCACUUCAGUGAAGCCCAAUAGACAAAGGCCAUCGACUGUCCAAGCCCAAGAGGUAUCCCUUGAGGACCUAGGGGUUCUGCCCAACACCCAGACAUGGAUCCACCUGAUGUCCUCCAUUACUAACCACCCUCCAACUUUUCAUUACAUCAUCUACAGCUACUGUUGUUGUCAUUAUCCGCUAAUAAAGUUUUUUGCUCUAUAAUACUGGGCACAUAAUAUGUGAGAUACACAGAUUAACCAAAAACACUAGCACUGCAAACACUCAGAACAAAGAGAGCAGCAGUGCCUGAACUUUGCAGUCUCCCUCUUCAAUCUAUGAUUGCCAUGUGAGUGUACAACAAAAUCUGUGAAAAUAAAUUAAUAACAAACUGUACCAAAAAUGAUACAAAUUUAUGUAUUAAAAUCUUAAAUAUUGCCAGGUUGGUUUUCA